rnacentral:rRNA from 1 species
GUGAACGCUGGCGGCAUGCCUAACACAUGCAAGUCGAACGGUAACGGGCCCGCAAGGGUGGCCGACGAGUGGCGGACGGGUGAGGAAUACAUCGGAAUCUACCCGGUCGUGGGGGAUAACGUAGGGAAACUUACGCUAAUACCGCAUGAGACCGAGAGGUGAAAGCGGGGGAUCGCAAGACCUCGCGCGAUUGGAUGAGCCGAUGUCGGAUUAGCUAGUUGGUGGGGGGUAAAGGCCUACCAAGGCGACGAUCCGUAGCUGGUCUGAGAGGAUGAUCAGCCACACUGGGACUGAGACACGGCCCAGACUCCUACGGGAGGCAGCAGUGGGGGAAUAUUGGACAAUGGGGGCAACCCUGAUCCAGCAAUGCCGCGUGUGUGAAGAAGGCCUUCGGGGUUGUAAAGCACUUUUGUCCGGAACGAAACGUUGUCGGGUGAAUAUCCCGGCAAACUGACGGUACCGGAAGAAUCAGCACCGGCUAACUUCGUGCCAGCAGCCGCGGUAAUACGAAGGGUUGCAAGCGUUACUCGGAAUUACUGGGCGUAAAGCGUGCGUAGGUGGUUUUUUAAGUCCGUUGUGAAAGCCCUGGGCUCAACCUGGGAAUGGCAGUGGGAUACUGGAAAGCUAGAGUGCGGUAGAGGGGGUAGUGGAAUUCCCGGUGUAGCAGUGAAAUGCGUAGAGAUCGGGAGGAACACCAGUGGCGAAGGCGGCUACCUGGACCAGCACUGACACUGAGGCCACGAAAGCGUGGGGAGCAAACAGGAUUAGAUACCCUGGUAGUCCACGCCCUAAACGAUGCGAACUGGACGUUGGGAGCAACUUGGCUCUCAGUGUCGAAGCUAACGCGUUAAGUUCGCCGCCUGGGGAGUACGGUCGCAAGACUGAAACUCAAAGGAAUUGACGGGGGCCCGCACAAGCGGUGGAGUAUGUGGUUUAAUUCGAUGCAACGCGCAGAACCUUACACUGGCCUUGACAUGUCCGGAACUGCCCAGAGAUGGGCGGGUGCCUUCGGGAAUCGGAACACAGGUGGCUGCAUGGCUGGUCGUCAGCUCGUGUCGUGAGAUGUUGGGUUAAGUCCCGCAACGAGCGCAACCCUUGUCCUUAGUUGCCAGCACGUAAUUGGUGGGAACUCUAAGGAGACUGCCGGUGACAAAACCGGAGGAAGGUGGGGAUGACGUCAAGUCAUCAUGGCCCUUACGGCCAGGGCUACACACGUACUACAAUGGGAGGGUACAGAGGGUAGCGAAGCCGCGAGGCGAAGCCAAUCCCAGAAAAACCUCUCUCAGUCCGGAUCGGAGUCUGCAACUCGACUCCGUGAAGUCGGAAUCGCUAGUAAUCGCGAAUCAGCAUUGUCGCGGUGAAUACGUUCCCGGGCCUUGUACACACCGCCCGUCACACCAUGGGAGUUGGUUGCUCCAGAAGCAGGUAGCCUAACCGCAAGGAGGGCGCUGCCGCGGAGUGGUCAAUGACUGGGGUG